rnacentral:tRNA from 5 species
GCCCGGAUGGUCUAGUGGUACGUUCCACUUCAAAAUGCUAUCCUGCGAAUCUUCAACUAAUGAAUAAUUAGGUAUGAUUCGCGCUUCGGGUGUGCGAGGUCCCGCGUUCAAAUCGCGGUUCGGGCC